GAUUGCAAAGCUUGGUUUGAACAAUUGGUGAGGAGUUUUGAUGCAUGGUCGGUAUCUAUGGAAUCAAAAGAAGGAGAGGCUCGAAUUUGGCAAAUGUUGCCAGCGGGUGGCGGCCGGCCACCGUGUGCGGUAGUUCCGGUAGUGGCUCCGGUGAGCUUUCAACUUUCAAAGGUUUUCUCAUGAAUUUUGGGAAUUUUUGAAAUAUAGAUAUACUUUGGGUAGGAUUAUUUUUCUUAUUUCUCAGUC
rnacentral:misc_RNA from 1 species